GAGAAACUCCUUGCAGUUGGCCUUGGGAAGCUGGGGAGGACUUGAAACUUCUAAGUGGCCCUGGGAGCAACCGGAGGUGGGGUGGGCCAGUGCCUGUAGGCCUGGGCCUGCCUGGCUGAGGAUCCCAGCUGGACUACUGCCUUGCUGUCUACAAAUGAUGGAGCCCUUCCAGUCUCAGCUUCCUCACAAGUAAAAUGCAGACGGCAAUGCCUCUUUCCAGUGACGUUGUGAGGAUUCGAUGGGAAGUUUCAUGAAAGCACUUAGCAGGGUUUUUGUUGAGUGCUCAGAAGGUGAUAGUUUGGUGUUGCUAGGGGAACAGAAGCCUGGGCUGAGAACAGGCCGUGGAGAGUCACAAAUGGUCUUCAGCCGUCGGAAGGCACUGUUAGAUUUACUCUUCACAAAGAACAUUUUGGGACAUCUUGGUGUACGGAUUAGAAGGAAGGACAGAAGCUGGUGAGCUGUGGGCCACAGGGUCAGCAGGGAGGAUACUGAAGCAGUCCACAGACGCAGCUGUGAGGGUGUCCUGGAGCUGGGGAGAGGGAGAGGAGUGGAUUAGAGACGUGUUUGGAAAGUGUUAAUAAGAUAGGCAGGGCUGAGGGGAGAGAACAAGAGAGGGAGAAGGGGGUAGAUUUUGAUGAGGAGGUGACGGCAGUGACAGUGACUGAGAGGAGCAAUAAAGCCAGGAGCAGGCUGUGGGAAGAGGGAGUGGCUUCCCUCAGAAGAGGCGCCGCCUCCCUAGCAGUGAGCAAAUGUGUUUAGGAACAUGUUCUUCCUCCCAAUCCAGAGACGGAUUGCUGAGAUGAUUCCUGCUUUCCGGCUCCCCGACACCCGCUGUUCUUUAGAUCCGCUCAGCGGCGCUUUUUCCUGUGCCACGUGCCCAGAUCUGAGCGAGGCUUGGGAAGACGCGAACGGGCUGUAAAAUCUGUCCCCAGAACUGGAGAAGAGCAAGCUCCAGGCACAGGCAAAGGGUGUGGCUUCAGAGAAGAGCGAGGAUCUUGCCAUCUCUUUUACAGAUCCGUGGAAGGCAGAGAGAAUUUGGGAACCUCUGUGCUAUAAGCAUGGAAAAUUGGGACUCAGGUAAAAAGGCUGGUUCCUGGUCGCACAGCUGGUCAUGGGCACUUUGGCAAAGGAGUGUGAGUUUUGGGGAAGCUCAAGGAAGAGGUACCAGGUAGAGAGAGGGCCAGGGCUGAGUUCACGGGCUCUUUCUAAAUGGAAAUGUCUCACAUUCAGCUGUUGUCUGCCUUUGAGUCACACAGAACCACUUGCAGGAAGAACUCUAGAGAAUUUGGGAAGAAAGGGGGAGAGGACAGACAAAAGAUGCAUUUUUCUUUCAAGAAGCAGGAAAAUGUAAGGAAAAUUGAAGGUGUUCUCAAGUGUGUCUGCUGCUGCCUGACACAGGUUAACCCCGUCGCAGGUCACUCCGCUCUGUUAAUUGCAUCCUAACCUUCCUCGGCUCUUCGGCAGCGAAAUCGCAGCAGAGGAGAUGGAGCAGCUUCGUGCGCAUUGCUCAUUUGCGCCAACGUGAAAAGAACUGCCAGGAUGCCCAGGACACCAGCUCCCUGGCUUCUGCGGUGCUUGCACAGUCCUGAAUCAGCCCGAGAGCUGUGGAUCUGCGUCCCCUGGCUGCAUAGCCGACUGCCGGCUCCAUGGAGGGGCCUGUGCCGGAGAACGCACAUGUUGACUUAUUUCUUCAGUCUAGGCCUUUCUUGGCCCCCUUGGUUAUUCAUUCUAGAUGAUACAACUCUUAUUUCAGUUCAAAUGUCUCACGGAAGAGGCAUUGAAGACAGAGUGGAUGCCCGUGUUUGUUGGCAGUAGGUAGUAUUUACCACUCCGGUUGUAGUAAAAGAACAAAAGGAGAAAUUACACCUAUUUCUCAUAUUUAAGGGAAAAGCAAUUAAAUCACCAAAGUCAGAUUCUCGAGUAAUUGCUGGGCCCUUGGAGGGGCGGGCAAGGUGAGGUGUGAGGCCCCAGAUCUCUGUCUUGUGUGGGGCUGACACUGCCUGCUGGGGACUCCAAGCAGAGGCGGGGCCAGGGAAGGCAGCAUGCAGGGGGAAACCGAGAGCCUCUUGCCAGCCUCCCCUCCCAGCUGCUAUCCAUGCACUUGUCGUAGCUUCGCCGCUGUCCUCAGGCCAGGCAAGAGGUAGCAGGGCUCCACCUACAGAAGUUAUAGGAGGCGACUCUCAGAGCCUUGAUUUCCUCCAUUUGAAAUACUGAGAACAGUAUCUUCCAUACCUAGUUUCUAAAAGUUGUUAUGAAGAUUACGUAGAUUCAUACCUGUGAAGGCUGGUGAAAGAAUAAAACAGCCUAAACACACAAGGUGUUAAAAACAUCCCUUCCAACUAAAUAAUAGAUGAGUUGGAAUCCCAAGCAUGCUGGACAGCAGCAGUCACAGCCGAGGGGUGGGGGCCCCGUCCCUUACCAGGUGACCUCCCAUCGGUCAGGAGGACGAUGGCAUGUGGCAGUGCCGAGCACCACCUGGCUGGGAUCACUUCUCCCGCCUUCCUUUCUCCUUCUCCGGCCUGGGUCGGUAGCAUGGUCCGGAGAGCCAGCAGGCAGUCUCUCCCAGUCCGCAGAGGCAGAGGAGCGGUCUGAACGUGCAGGGCGGCCACUGCCAAGGCAGCCUGGGAUCAGGAGCUGCCCUGCACCUGGUGAUCUCUGCAAAUCAAUGCUUACCCAGAAGGAAAACCAAUUUACAUUGGUUCCUGUGGGUGCGGACAUUCCAGUCACAGAACAGCAGCUCUACAUCUAGGAGGCUCCUGAAGAACCCAAACUAACUGUGAAAAUGCAAGUGAAAAGUCCUGCUCUGGUGUGUUACAGGUGCUGCUUCUAGAAAACCCCUUUAUUAGAAAGCAGCAUGAAACCAGCGUUGGGAUAUAAGAGGAUGUGCUUUGUUAAAAGAAAACCUCUUUCUAAUACUCCCAACCAAAGGGCCAGAGGUCUUGUCUAACUAAAUGCCACCUUUCUGUGAUUCUUGGAGCUUCAUCUUCAAAGACUGAGAGGAUCCUCCUUCAUCUGAAACCUCUCAGAAAGGGAAAGGUUGGUCGUGACUUGUCCCCUCAACAAGGAACUUCAGGCACUGCCAACUGUGUUCAGUAACCCUUCUCUGACAGGAUGCUCUCCAGAAAAAUUCCUGCUAGCUUGACUCAGAAGAAGAGCAGCCUGUGCAUGAGCCUGUUCCCCUUGAGAAUUUCCUCUUCCUUCAUUAGUGUCUUGCGAUGGCCACAUUCUCCAUUUCUGUGACUUCCUACCAGCUUUUCAAAUGCUUAACUACAAACUAAAGUUAUUCUGGCAUUGGCAAUGUGAUCUCAGGAUUCCCACAACUAGCUUUCCUCAAGAUGAAUAUUGGGACGAGUUUGGCAGCAGACUGUAUGAUAAGGAGCACUGGAAUGGGAGUCAGAAAGCAUUGUGAACCCUACAGGGCAAGUGACUUCACCUCUCUUAAUCUCAUUGUCAUCAACUGUAAGUGAGAGUGAAUGAAGGAUGCUCCCAACUGUCAAACCCUGUAAGUUAAGAAAACCUGUGCUCCAGAGGAGAACAUGAACAUUGGCAAAAAGGUAUUUAUACAUCCUUCACCAUAUUUUUGUAGAUGAGUCUGAAAGAAUUUUGAAUUCACCUAGCAAUUGCACUAUCCUGAUUUCAUAUGGAAAACACAGUUUCAAGAAGUUAACCACAAGGCUUGCACACUGGCUGGCUUCCAGCCUUCUCCUCACAGAGUAGAUUAACUAAUCCAGACAAUUACUGUCAAACAAAGGAGCAGGUUGGAAAUUCUUGGAGGAUUUUUUUUUUUUUUUGUACAGCUUAUAUAGUUAAAUUGAGAGACCUCAAGUGGAAUUGUUUUCAUGAAUAAUUUAAGUAACUAUUCUAUUUAUCUAGUGCUUGUCGGGUAAAAAUUUACAAAAAUUAUGAAAGUUGGAUCAACUGACCAAUUUGAAGGACAAACAUGAUUCCAGCUUUCUUUUACUUUAUUUUUUCCCCUAGGACCACAGCAAUUAGAAUAAUUUUAUCAUGAGUUUGAGCAAAUAAGUCAUCCAAUCCCAAACUGAAAGUAAUUGAAAAGUAAACCAUCACAACAUCCCACCUCAAACAGGUGUAUUGGGAAGCAGUGUGUGUAUAUAGCACAUCUUAUAAAAUGAAAUAGGCAGGGUACAAAAUUUCUGAAAACAGAAUCUCUCAACUAGGACCUUCCCCAUGUGUGUGCCAUUACCUUGAUAAAUUUGAGACUUGACCAGUGGCUCAAUAAAUUUGGAGAAAACAGAAACAAUUAAGUUCUCACUUCAGAUUCAUACUUUUUAAAUUUUCUUUUAUAUUUUCAAAUUUAUGGUCUUAAUGCAGGCUAGGUAUUGCAUUUUGACAAUGGAAUCUGAAACAGCUACAACUCUAGAUUUUGUAAAUUCUUCUUCACCAUAGCAGUGGCUUAGUUUUAACUGUGAUUACUGUCUCAUUGGUCAAACUGUUUUGACAGAAAGGACAUUUUAUUGAGAGGUUAGUCCCCAAAAGACAUGCUUUGGAGAUCUUUUUCAAAUGUUCAAAUUAUGGAUGGCUUAGUUUAUACUCUUUACCCCAAAAUGAAAAUUCUGGCAUUCUCAUUAGCCUUCUCACAAAGCAAGUCUUUAAAGCUUCCCCAACACAUGUGAAAACCGAAUUUUAUGAGGAUUCAAGACCAGCCAGGAGACUUUAGUAAAGACUAGAUUUCAGAACAGCAGAUCUUUAGUUGUGCAAAGGACAUUGCUAAACUUCUGGGUUGGAAGGUAUCCUGAUAUACCUAAUUCUAUUUAUGAAACUGCAUAUGUGCUUUGAAACUCUGUUUAGAUCCAGCUCUUUCAGUUAGAGAUGGAAACCAUAUGUGUGUCUAAGGCCCUUAUGUUUUGCCUUGGAGAGUCUUAGAUUUUGUUUUGAUUUCAAACUUGGCAUCAUUUUCAGAUUUGGAGGCAUCCUGGGUAUGUCCUUGACCCUCUGUGUCAUGCAGAUACAUUUUUGUUAUCCAUUAUUACUCUUCUUAGAUGAGUCUCAGGGCCAUAUGCUUAGAAAGGUGUUGUGCCUUUCAUUCUCAGAAAAGUUAUUCUAAGUAAAACAGAGAUCCAAAGAAAAUAUGUGGAACAUUCAGGCUCACAAUCUUGUACAUAGUAAAAUAGUUUUUUGUUUAUUGUUUAUUUGAAUUAAUCAGGUCUGCUUUUCCCCUUUAUUCCUCAUUUCUUUUGUGGGAAGUGGACUAAAGCUUCUGCUGCACCACGAACCCAAGAAUUGUAGACAUAUCCCAGUGGCCAGAUGGCUGACUACCCACCGAAUCUAUCUUCCCAUUCUCUCAAGGUAAUGAGCUAGCUGUAGCCCAAUAUGUGACCUCUCAGUUGGCGGCUAUGUUUCAAGAGCCACUUGCAGGUGUGUGUCUGAGUUCCUUCCAGUGGAAUGUGAGCAGAAGGGACAGGAGACAUUUCUAGGCCCUGGGUCUGACACACAGCCUUCCCUGUGGUUGGUGCUGAACUACAGAGUAGCCGAAGACCAACUGGCUUUGAGCAUACAGGUGCAGGACUACUAUAUGAGAGAUGAAAAACCUUUGUCCUUAAAAUGAACUUUUUCCCUAAAAUCGCAUGUAGACCUUGGGGCUCAUGCAUAAGAAUUAAAGAGAAAGAGGAAAAUAAA
rnacentral:lncRNA from 10 species